GGGCCCUGACAGGCUCUGUGUUCUUAGGGUCGGUCGGGCUACUCCUGAGGGGGCCGCAGACGGAGCAGCAGCUCAUCUGUGAGGCCCUUCGAGCACUGAGGAAAGACGCCAGCCCAUCCUGCUCUAACCUGGAAAAUUAAGCCCAGUUUCCCCAAAAAGCUAAAGAAUUAGGGACAUGUCCUGGAUACAGUGAACCACUAUCCAAAGAACACACGAAAACAUACUGAAGAGGACACCACCUUCCAGAGCUGCUGGAGCAACAAGCACAGCUGAUGCAGUUCUCAUGGCUUCAGCCUUCUCCCUGCCUUUUGACAGCUCCCUCCCUGCAAACCUUAGACACUUCCCAUCCCCUUUUUUCCUUGUACUUUUCAUUCCUUUUGACUCCAUCCCUCAGAUGCUCCCCAUCCCCUUCUUUCCUUGAAGCUCAUCCCUUUGCUUCGCCUUGCAUUAAUAAACAGUUUGCCUUUUUCACUUAA